CUCUGCUGGUGGGUUGACAUCUCGGUCCUAGGGUCCAGUGGCCUGGGUCUCGGAGAGGCAGACCAGUGUUUCCUGCGCCCCCUGCGAUGGCACCUGCGUGAGAGGGCGGAGUCAGGGACUGUGCUCUGCGGGGCCCCUCGCCUCGGCAGCUCCUGAAAAUCUGGGCCCUAGAACAGCGAGUAUAUACACACCCCCACCACCACCUCCACCACCCACCCUAAACAUCCCCGAAGAAAGGUAACCACAGAAACAGCCAUAAAUGUGGAGCUGGCGUUAGUGUUAGGCUGAGACAAACUGUCUUCCGAGCGUCUCUAGGGAGAACUCAAAUCCUCCUCCACAAAAACACGGUGAAUGGGAAAAGCAAACCCAGAGGGAGUCAGUCUCCUAGUGGCCCUGCUGCCAGGAUUAAAUGCGCAGAGACCGGCAGUCAGGAUCAUUGCAGCGGCUUCCUGCAGCAUAUCCACGCAGAGGGUAGGGUUACAGCUGAGGAGACCUCUGUCAGAGGCCCAACCCAGGCCCAUCAGCUGGUGACUGCAGAGACUGGACCACUCCAGAGGAGAGAAGUGUGGCUGCUCCGAAUAGAGUGGGUGAUGCUCCUUAGGGUUGACGUGGCCCCUCUGGCUGCACACCCUUCCCCUGGCCCCAGAAGCUCAAAGCAGAGGAAACGGCCAGAGAACUUUCUGGCAGGACCAGCAGCAAGAAUCACCAGAUCCUGCCUUCUGUCAGCAGAUGAGUCAGAGGUGGGGAAAUGGAUCAUUAGGCCAUCUUGCUUGUCCCUUAGGUCCACCAGUGCUCGCGAUGGUCCCUGAGGCAGAUGCUGUGGCCCAUGGAUCACCCAGGAAACGUAACUCAGAGGCACAUUCUGCUGGAUCCUCCUUCCCCCUUCAUCCCUACAAGCUCCAGGGCAUCAAAAUAAAGAGUGUCCCUUCUCCUAGAGCA
rnacentral:lncRNA from 1 species